rnacentral:rRNA from 1 species
GAUCUGUAAUCAGGUAGGGCUACCCGCUGAACUUAAGCAUAUCAAUAAGCGGAGGA